UGGGGAAUAUUGGACAAUGGGGGCAACCCUGAUCCAGCCAUGCCGCGUGUGUGAAGAAGGCCUUUUGGUUGUAAAGCACUUUAAGCAGGGAGGAGAGGCUAAUGGUUAAUACCCAUUAGAUUAGACGUUACCUGCAGAAUAAGCACCGGCUAACUCUGUGCCAGCAGCCGCGGUAAUACAGAGGGUGCGAGCGUUAAUCGGAAUUACUGGGCGUAAAGCGAGUGUAGGUGGCUCAUUAAGUCACAUGUGAAAUCCCCGGGCUUAACCUGGGAACUGCAUGUGAUACUGGUGGUGCUAGAAUAUGUGAGAGGGAAGUAGAAUUCCAGGUGUAGCGGUGAAAUGCGUAGAGAUCUGGAGGAAUACCGAUGGCAAAGGCAGCUUCCUGGCAUAAUAUUGACACUGAGAUUCGAAAGCGUGGGUAGCAAACAGGAUUAGAUACCCUGGUAGUCCACGCCGUAAACGAUGUCUACUAGCCGUUGGGGUCCUUGAGACUUUAGUGGCGCAGUUAACGCGAUAAGU
rnacentral:rRNA from 1 species